CUUAUCAAAGCUCCGGCGGUAUGAGAUGGACCCGCGUCUGAUUAGCUAGUUGGUAAGGUAAUGGCUUACCAAGGCGACGAUCAGUAGCCGACCUGAGAGGGUGAUCGGCCACAUUGGAACUGAGACACGGUCCAAACUCCUACGGGAGGCAGCAGUGGGGAAUAUUGCGCAAUGGCGAAAGCCUGAUGCAGCAACGCCGCGUGAGCGAAGAAGGCCUUCGGGUCGUAAAGCUCUGUCCUCAAGGAAGAUAAUGACGGUACUUGAGGAGGAAGCCCCGGCUAACUACGUG
rnacentral:rRNA from 1 species